CGGGGGCGGGUGGCGGCGCGGGCGGCAGGCGGCAGGGGGUCCUCGCCUUCCGGGCCGCGGCGCCUUCUCUGCGCUCCGCUGGGGCGGGCGCCGGCGCUUGCUGGUUAAGGUCCGCUAGGAUCCGCGCCACUACGAAGAGCGAGGCACUGUCCUUGCCGUCGCGGCGUUCUUCGACGCGGGGCAGCGUGGCGGCCACAGCGGCCGCGCCCUCGGGUCCGGGCUCCGGCCCCUCCCGCGGCCCGUGCACGACCGCGCGGUUCGACAUGGACACGAGGCACUCGGCGGCGAAGUGGUCCACAUAGGCGGCGGCUGCCAUGCUGCGGGAUCCAGCCGGCGGACGGGCGGCACUGCUGGUCGCUGCGAGUCGUCAGCGGCGCAUCCGCACCCACGGCCUCCGGAGAGCGGGCGGGGGGCGGGGGCGAGGCGCGCCCUCUCCGCGGGCUGGGCUGGGCGCGCAGCCGCCUCUGCCGUCACCCGCGCGGCUCCGCGUCUGCUAGGCGCCCGCCCGGCUGGGCUCCGAAGAGUGAACGCAUGGGGGGCGCGGGCGAGUGGGAUCCCCGCGCGACGUCAGGGGCGGCCUGUCCUAAGGAUGUCGAGCGGCGACGUUAGGGACGACCGCGCCAAGUCGCGGCCGCAGCCUCGCCGCGCAUUGUGGCAGGCGGGACAGCAGCCGUGCGCGCCGCGGCUCGGUGUGGGCGGCCCGGCCCCGGGGGUGGGCGGGGCCGGGGCCACAUCUGGACCCGACGUCAGCCCCCAGCCACAUCCUGGCGGCGCAGGUUACGGGCGGCGGCGGCGGCCGCGGGGAGCCGCGCACGCGGAGGGGGCGGGGAUCCCAGAGCGCGCACCGGCGGGAUGGAGCGGUCGCGCGCCCGCCUCUGGGGAAGGGGCGUGGCCGAGGACAAAGACAGGCGCCAUUGGUUCGCGGGAGUGAACUACGUGCCGGGGCGCCGGCGCCGCUGCUCAUGGAACGCGGGGCCCCUUCCUCCGCCUCCCCUCCCCAGGCCCGCUGCCAACUUCUCCAGGCUGCUCCUCUCCCACCCGGCCGGGAAGGCUUCCGACGCCACCGACUGCGCGGGCCCCGCCCACCCACUGCCUGGCCUCGCUGAGGAAACGCUCCCUGCCCUGCCCCGCCCACUUGCCCUUGGUUCUCCCCGGCGCGCUCACCCUCACUGUCUCCGAGGCCACCCCACCGCCCUUCUCCAGGCCUAGGCCAUCAGCGUAGAGGUUAGAGGCUGAAGCCGAGCGCAGCAAGCCCCUGGGCCGGAAAGACCGGCCGUGGUUUGCAGCCUUUAAUGGCAUUCAAACGUGUUAGCUGCCCGCGCGGAGAGAGUGGAAGGAAGGCAGCCCAGGCACUGGAUCCCUCGGACCAGAGAAGAGGGGUGGGUGAGACAGAGUCGUUCUGCGCACAAAAUUAAGAGCAGCCAUUUCACACCAAAUUAUCUUGGGGCCUGGGUGGAAAAGACUUACAGGUCACCAAGGACGAACGCGUUUUGGGUUGCAUGUUGUGGUGACCUGUAAACUGGUGUGUACGUCUGGGCACCCUGGGAAUCUGUGAUUAAAACCCUAAAGUUCCAGCUCCCUGGUGGAGUCGGGGCUCCUUGCGAAGACCACACAGUGUGCUCUGCAGGGGUGGGGCUCUGUACUGGGCCACUGGGUCAGACUCCUCCUCUAAGAGGGUCUCCUCAUGGCAGGAAGUAAUCUCUCUUCUCCCAGCCAAAUUGUGUUGAUGACAUUUAAGAGAUUUGUGUUCUGACCAAAUAAUGGUUCAGAAUGUUCCUGCAGUCUCACCACAUGUCACACUCAGUCACUUCAUUAAGGAUGGAGCUGGCCCUGUGCUAACUAACCAGCCAUCCACCCCCCUCCCCACUCUGUCCAACAAGCAGGAUUCUGCUAAAUCUACAAGGUACCACUAGCUCCAUGACCCCACUUGACACACCCCAGCCUGGGAACACCCUGGCAGGCCUCUUAGGAGUAGGCACUCUUCUAUGCAUUGGGCUACAACUGACCAUCCUCUGCUCUGGGUGAGGAAGGUAGGCCUGGGUCAAGGGUCCUCGGCAGGCACACACAUCCCACCCCCAUCCACAGCCCAGACCAGUCCCCAGGUCUCUGCAUGGAUGCAGCCUCCCUGAGUGUUUUGGCUGCACUCUCAGGGCAUCCUGGGUGCAAAACUCACACCCUUGGCCUGCUUCUCAGGCCUUUAACGGUUGUUCAUAGAAGGAGGUCCUGGGGCCCAGCAACCCUCAUCCCAGCCCCACGUGGGAGUGUCUUCCAGAUACAUACAUUCUCUUCCUCAGAGGAAAAUCUUACCAUAACCCCUGGCCUGUGUUAUUCUUGCUUCAUCAGAUUUUGACAGAUGUGGCUUCUGUAUGUCUGAGGGUGGGUGGGGAUCAAGUGUCAGAUGGAAGGAAUGGAAUAAACAAAAACAGGAGCUGCAGGAGACCCAGGUUCAAUCUCUGGGUUGGGAAGAUCCCCUGCAGGAGGAAAUGGCAACCCACUCCAGUAUUCUUGCCUGGAAAAUCUCAUGGACAGAGGAGCCUGGUGGGGUAUAUGGUCCAUGGGGUCGCAGAGUCAGACAGGACUGAGCACACAGUUCAGGGUGGGAAAGAUCAGCCCAGAGCAAGUGAAUGGGGAUAUGUCUGGAGAGUGGAGAGGCUGGGCUGGA
ensembl:lncRNA